UCCGGCUUACACCGGCGGUCUCCUGUGAGUUCCCACCUUUAGUGCUGGUAACACAGGACGAGGGUUGCGCUCGUUGGCGGACUUAACCGUACACCUCACGGCACGAGCUGACGACAGCCAUGCAACAAGUGUCUUCUGGUCCCCUUGAGAGGGAGGGACGCCUUUCAGCGCCUUUCCAUCGAUGUCAAGUCUGGGUAAGGUUCUUCGGUUAGUAUCGAAUUAAUCCACAUGCUCCACCGCUUGUGCGGGUCCCCGUCAAUUCAUUUGAGUUUCAACCUUGCGGCCGUACUCCCCAGGCGGGAUACUUAGUGCGUUAGCUGCGGCACGAGAGGGGUCGAUACCUCUCACGCCUAGUAUCCAUCGUUUAGGGCGUGGACUAC
rnacentral:misc_RNA from 1 species